AAUUAUCCCAAUCUUAAAGGACAAAAGGCCCAACCAGAGUUAGGAGCGAUCAAAUGGGAGGAAAUACAAGUGGGAGAGACAGGCAGUGGUAGCUGUAAUUCCAGUACUCAUCAGUCAGAAGAAGCAUUGUGGAGAGCUCUGUGAGUUCCAGGCCAGCCUGGAAGGUCUAAAAGGCAACCUUCAGGAUAACCAGGACCACACAGUAAAACAGACUCCAAAAUCAAUAAAAAUAAUUAUUUUUGCCUAAGUAUAAGGACACAGGCCUGUCAUCAUGAAAUCAAGAGAUGACCUUGAACUCAGAGAUGCACCUGCCUCUACCCCACUAGUGCUGGGAUUAGAAAAACAAGAGAAAAAGUGCCUCACUGUUGGAAAAUAAACAAAACUUGUUUUAACCUGUACUACUCGGAGAACCAGCAGCUGAAGUAACACAUUUCCUAAUACCUGGAAUACUAAGUACUUCAGGACUACACCACAGGUUUCCCACGAUUCAAAGAAAUCCCCCAAGACCAGGAGACAGCCUGGAUCCUUCCAGGCUGAGAGAGAGAGAGAGAGAGAGAGAGA